rnacentral:rRNA from 1 species
UGGCUCAGGACGAACGCUGGCGGCGUGCUUAACACAUGCAAGUCGAGCGAUGAAGUUCCUCGGGGACGGAUUAGCGGCGGACGGGUGAGUAACACGUGGGUAACCUGCCUCAUAGAGGGGAAUAGCCUUCCGAAAGGAAGAUUAAUACCGCAUAAGAUUGUAGUUUCGCAUGAAACAGCAAUUAAAGGAGUAAUUCGCUAUGAGAUGGACCCGCGUCGCAUUAGCUGGUUGGUGAGGUAACGGCUCACCAAGGCGACGAUGCGUAGCCGACCUGAGAGGGUGAUCGGCCACAUUGGGACUGAGACACGGCCCAGACUCCUACGGGAGGCAGCAGUGGGGAAUAUUGCACAAUGGGGGGAACCCUGAUGCAGCAAACCGCCGCGUGAGUGAUGACGGUCUUCGGAUUGUAAAGCUCCGUCUUCAGGGACGAUAAUGACGGUACCUGAGGAGGAAGCCACGGCUAACUACGUGCCAGCAGCAGC